rnacentral:rRNA from 1 species
AUGCUUAAUCCUGUAAGGUAUGUUUUUCCUUUUCGAAGAAACACAAAAGCUUCACGUUUUGAUGUAUUGUUAAGAAAAGACUGUGUAAGCUCUAAACAAUUUCAUUUUUUUUAUAAAGUACCCAAGAGUUGGCUAUACCAACCCAUACUAGCAUUAUUGGGCGUUAGGGAAGCUGGUAUGCAGUUUGCUUGUACCCCAUUUUUCUCUUUAUCCGUUGCUACUGGAACUAGAACACGGAUUGCAAAAUUCAGUAAAAAAAAUUCUUUCUCCCCAUUGAUUCAUCGGAUUCCUUUUUGUUCUAGCCAAAAGAUAGAAAACACAGCUUAG